UUGGAGGGCAAGUUCUGGUGCCAGCAGCCGCGGUAAUUCCAGCUCCAAUAGCGUAUAUUAAAGUUGUUGCAGUUAAAAAGCUCGUAGUUGAAUUUCGGGGUCAGUAGGUUGGUCAUGCCACUGGUAUGUACUGGCCUCACUGAUUCCUCCUUCCUGAUGAGCCGUAAUGCCAUUAAUUUGGUGUUGCGAGGAAUCUGGACUGUUACUUUGAAAAAAUUAGAGUGUUUAAAGCAGGCUCACGCUUGAAUACAUUAGCAUGGAAUAAUGAAAUAGGACAUCCGAUUCUAUUUUGUUGGUUUCUAGGAUCGAUGUAAUGAUUAAUAGGGAUAGUUGGGGGCAUUAGUAUUCAAUUGUCAGAGGUGAAAUUCUUGGAUUUAUUGAAGACUAACUACUGCGAAAGCAUUUGCCAAGGAUGUUUUCAUUAAUCAGUGAACGAAAGUUAGGGGAUCGAAGACGAUCAGAUACCGUCGUAGUCUUAACCAUAAACUAUGCCGACUAGGGAUCGGAUGAUGUUAAUUUUUUAAUGACUCAUUCGGCGCCUUACGGGAAACCAAAGUGUUUGGGUUC
rnacentral:rRNA from 1 species